CUGCACAGGUGGAGGACAUGCAGCUGGCGGCGGGCGACGGCAUGGUGGAGUUCAACGAGAUGGAGGAGGACUGGUGAGGUGGAAGGGUGGCGUUGCACGUUCGUAGUGACAAGGGAGCGCGAGGAAGGAACAGUAGUGGGCUCUUGCCAACCUGGAUCGAACAGCGACCGUACCUGAACAAGCUCUUAGUAGUGAAGUGCAGCACAAUCGCCAGCGCCUUUCUCACAACGUCUCCUUGCUUCCCGGAUUGUCUUCUCCCCCGACGCACUUGCACCUCUGAAACUCUCUUCUCUUCAUCCUCCUCCUCGUCCUUCCCCUCCUUCUCUUCUUCCUCCUCCUCGUCCUUCUUCACCUCCCCAUUGUUGUUCUCCUUCCUUGUCUUCUACUACCUCUGUUACUGCUCUUUCCUUUUCUCUCUGUCUACUAUAGCGACCCCGCCCCCCUAAGAGAGCCCCGUCUUCCACACCCUUUGUGUCCACCUCUUAGUGAUGGAAUAGUGGCAUCCCGAUCUCACCCACAGAUCACGAGCAAUGACAAAUAUCCCAGAGCGUUCGUACUUCCACAGCAUUUAUGUCUGCUCUCAUUUAUCUAUAGUUUGCAGAUUUUUUCUUCCCCUCUUUUUCUAUCACUUUUCCUUCUCUUUUAUGAAGUCAGUGGUGACUGCUAUAAGCUUUCCGUUUCUUAUUUUUGAUAACCAAGAGUUGAAUGUUCAAGAAUGCUGCUAAUUCCGAAGUGAUUUCUGCAGGGAUUGGCAGUGUAGAGGCUUUCAGCUUUUGUCGUAGGCUUCCUUAUGGCAGUCCAAUGUUCUAGUUUAUGUCUAUGAUAAAUGCUUCGUUUUUUAACAUAAUAGUUAGUAGAGUAAAUACUUUAUAUGUCGGUGAGUAUGUUUCUCUGUAGCAAAGGGGAGUUUUCUUUUUUAAUUUAAAAAAUGAGUUGAAAAAUAUGUAUACAGUAUAUUAAUUUCAGCCAAUACAGUCUGCUGUGUUUUAGUUAAUCCUUUGGCUUCGGUAAGGGAAUUAAACCCCAGUCACUGACACUCGAUAUGUACCAACUUAAGCCUGUUAGCUAGUUCGUAAGCCUAGCACAGGGCAGUGGUUAGAGGGACCACUCUUGCAUGCCCGCAUUUGUGAUGUUCUCUUUGAUUUUAUUUUAUCGUUUUAUUUUUUCUAAUGUCCUUCUUGGAAGAGAAGGGCAGAAAGAGGAAGCACACGCAGCCCAGUUUCGUUAUGUGGUGCUAUGUACCACGCAUAUAUGUACACAUUCAGAAGCACAUUUUUAUUUCUCUUAUUAUUAAGCAUUCGUCUCUCAGCUAUGUAGCGAAUAUGGGAGUCGUAUUUUUCUGCAUUUUCCAGCUUAAAAACAAAAGAAUUUGAUUUAUUUUAAAAGGAGAUCAGGUAUUUCCUGCAGAAGACGUGGUUGUCCUUCAGUUACCAGUGAGUUAGCCGUGUAUGUGUCGUUCCGUUGCCUGUCUGGGGAGAGGGAAUGUCUGCUUGUGCUGUUUGUUUAGAGUGUGAGAGAACGUGUGAGUGUGUCAGUGUAUUUCAGAGUGUCUGUGUGUGUGUCGGUAUCAGUGAGUGUCUUUCAGUAAAGCGCAGAUCGUUUCCUUUACCAUGCGUAUGUCUGUAUUUCUCAGUCUGUUCCAUUUGUCGAUGUAUUUGUCAGUAAUGUGUAUGUGAUUGUUUACUUGUUUUUCAUCGACUUUGGAAUGUGUUUUUGUCUUCUAAUUAUACUUUGUGUCACAUUAUGUACUACUGGAAAAUUCUGCGUGUCGUUUUAAUUAAAAUGCAUCCUUAAUGUCAGAUCUUAUAGGUUGUAUAGCUAUUCACCAUAGAACGUAGAUUCAGUUUGUAUUUAUUGCAUUUAAUCUACAGUGCUCUCCGGGAUUAAUAUAGAUUUUAUUAAUCCAUAUAGUAAGAAGAAAACAAAGGCUCCUUCACUUUAUUUUUACAUAAUCGGCUGAAUGUUUUUUGCAUAGAAUUGAUACCCUAUUUUUCUUCAAAUGUAUGAUUGGUACAAUUUAUUGAUAUUGUUAUGUACAGUUAUUAAGGCAAGUAAAAUUCCAGGUAUCAAGUGUAAGGCUUUAAACCUUAUGGAUACAACGAUACACCUAAUAAAAUCUGUCUACCAAUCAA
rnacentral:lncRNA from 1 species